rnacentral:tRNA from 1 species
GGUCUCAUAGGGGAGUCAGGAGUCCCCACCUGCCUGUCACGCAGGAGAUCCCGGGUUCAAAUCCCGGUGGGACCG